AUGCCCGCACCCGCGUCCUCACCAUACCCACGCCCACAUCACACCCAUGUCCACACCACACCCACGCCCACACCACACCUGCGCACAUGUCACCACACCCAUGCCCACACCACACCCACACCCACACCACACCCACGCCCACAGCACACCCAUGCCCUUGCCCACACCACACCCACGCCCGCACCCGCGUCCUCACCACACCCGCGCCCACCCCGUACCUGCGCCCACACCACACCCACUCCCACACCACACCCACACCCACACCACACCCACGCCCACAGCACACCCAUGCCCUUGCCCACACCACACCCACGCCUGCACCCGCGUCCUCACCACACCCACGCCCGCACCCACGUCCUCACCAUACCCACGCCCACAUCACACCCAUGUCCACACCACACCUGCGCACACGUCACCACACCCACGCCCACACCACACCCGCGCACACGUCACCACACCCACGCCCACACCACACCCGCGCACACGUCACCACACCCACGCCCACACCACACCUGCGCACACGUCACCACACCCAUGCCCACACCACACCCACGCCCGCACCCGCGUCCUCACCAUACCCACGCCCACAUCACACCCAUGCCCACACCACACCCACACCCACACCACACCCGCGCCCACAGCACACCCACGCCCACAGCACACCCAUGUCCACACCACACCCACGCCCACACCACACCUGCGCACACGUCACCACACCCACGCCCACACCACACCUGCACACAUGUCACCACACCCAUGCCCACACCACACCCACGCCCACAGCACACCCAUGCCCUUGCCCACACCACACCCACGCCCGCACCCGCGUCCUCACCACACCCGCGCCCACCCCAUACCUGCGCCCACACCACACCCACUCCCACACCACACCCACACCCACAACACACCCAUACCCGCAUCAUCACACCCGCACCCGCACCCUUACCACACCUGCGCCCGUGCCCACACCACACCCGUGCCCACUCCACACCCACGCCUGUGCCCCCUCACUCCCACACCCAGGCCCACAUCUACUCCCAUGCCUACGCCCAUACCUCCACUUCCACCCCUGCCCACACCCUGUACACACUCAUGCACACAGGAGUGGACCCGGCCACCCCGCAGCUCACCUACAGCAGAUCCCCAGCUCUCCUCCACCACUCUGAGUCAUUGUCUUUAAAAUCAAAGGAACCCCAAGCCCCUGAGCCCCAGUGCUAA
rnacentral:lncRNA from 1 species